CCCCCUGUAGCUCAGUGGUAGAGCAUCCGCCUUUUAAGCGGUUGGUCGUAGGUUCGAUCCCUACCGGGGGGA
rnacentral:tRNA from 1 species